UACGUAGGUGGCGAGCGUUGUCCGGAAUUACUGGGCGUAAAGGGCGCGCAGGCGGCCUGUCAAGUCAGAUGUGAAAUCCCCGGGCUUAACCCGGGAACUGCAUUUGAAACUGGCGGGCUUGAGGGCAGGAGAGGGAAGCGGAACUCCCAGUGUAGCGGUGAAAUGCGUAGAUAUUGGGAGGAACACCAGUGGCGAAGGCGGCUUUCUGGACUGUACCUGACGCUGAGGCGCGAAAGCCAGGGGAGCGAACGGGAUUAGAUACCCCGGUAGUCCUGGCUGUAAACGAUGGGUACUAGGUGUUGGAGGUAUCGACCCCUUCAGUGCCGCAGUUAACGCAAUAAGUACCCCGCCUGGGGAGUACGGCCGCAAGGUUGAA
rnacentral:rRNA from 1 species